rnacentral:rRNA from 1 species
UACGGAGGAUCCGAGCGUUAUCCGGAUUUAUUGGGUUUAAAGGGUGCGUAGGUGGAUUGGUAAGUCAGUGGUGAAAGUUUGCAGCUUAACUGUAAAAUUGCCGUUGAAACUGCCGGUCUUGAGUGCAAAUGAGGUAGGCGGGAUGCGUCGUGUAGCGGUGAAAUGCUUAGAUAUGACGCAGAACUCCGAUUGCGAAGGCAGCUUACUGGGAUGCAACUGACGCUGAGGCACGAAAGCGUGGGUAUCAAACAGGAUUAGAUA